GAACAGAACCGGCGCUAAAAGUUUUUUUUAAUUUUUUUUUGCCACUUUUUGUACCUGUUCAAAGCAAGAACCAGUGCUUAAAGUGUGUUUUUUUGCACCGGUUCUCACCCAGAACCGGUGCGAAAAGCAUGUUUUCCCACCGGUUUUGAACCGGUGUGAAAUGUUUGGGGUUUAAGCACCCCCCGAAUCAGGACCGGUUCAAAACCGGUGCUAAAUGGGGGUUUUGAACCGGUGCGGAUUGCGUGUUUUCGCCUAGUGUGAAGGCUUUUCUAGUCAAGUUCUUGGGACAGGAAAAGACUGCAAGGUUGAAAAAUGAGUUAUCUACUUUCAGGCAAUCAAAUGAUGAGUCCCUAUAUGACGCAUGGAGGAGAUUCAAGCGAUUGCAGAGACAAUGCCCUCACCAUGGUAUUCCUGAAUGGAUGUUGAUACAAACCUUCUAUAAUGGUUUAACUCAUGAGUUCCGAAUCUAUAUUGAUGCUGCAUCCGGGGGUUCUCUCUUGACUAAGAACCCAACUGAGGCGAAGGAGCUAGUUGAGAAGAUGGCGACCAAUGAUAACUAUCAUCUAGGAGGACGAAAUAGUGUGAAGAAGGGAGGUAAAUUAGAUGUUGAUGCUCUAACUCUUUUGACUAGCUCUGUGUAGGCAUUGUCAAGCAAGUUCAACAGACUCCAAGCUGGAUCAUCCGCUAGCUUACCUAAGACUUGUCAAAUGUGUAAUGUGCAAGGUCACAUCGUACCUAAUUGCCCACAAAAUUCAAAUGAGAUAUCAAUCGAGGAAGCCAAUUCAUUCUACACUUCUAAUCCCAAAAGGCCAUAUGACCCCCACUCUAACACAUAUAAUGAAGGUUGGAAGAAUCACCGAAAUUUUUCCUACAAGAAUACCCAAGCCCAACAAAAUCCACCUCCACCACCACCUUGAAACAACAAUUAUAAUGCACCACCUGGUUUCCAACCAAGGCCAUCUCUAGUCCAACAACCCAUGCAACAUGUGCAACCACCUCCUCAAAAAUAUAACCUUGAGUUAAUGAUGGAGAACUUUAUCACCACAACAAACAAUUCCAUCUAAUAGUUACAAGCUUAGAGCAAGCUCAUGGAAAAUUAGAUGAGUGAACUUGCUCAUGAAGUUGGCCAAUCUUUACUUUGAGGAAUGGAAAACAAUUGGAAAAUCCUCCCGUAUGGGAGCCAUCAUAGGAGGUUGUUGAAGGGGUAGGCGCAAAUGAAAAGGUGGUUGAAAGUACUAUGAUUGAGGAAGAGUCAAAGGAAACGACUCCACCACCUCUUGCUCUAUAUGUGCCAAAGGUCCCUUUUCCGCAGAGGUUAGCCCAAGCAAAGUUAGAGAAAAAGUAUGGAAAAUUUCUCGAUAUUCUGAAAAAGCUUCACAUCAACAUUCCAUUCUUAGAUGCAAUAUCCAAGAUGCCAUCUUAUGCAAAAUUCUUAAAGGAUAUUCUCUCUAACAAGAAGAAGCUAGAAGGGAAUGCUACAGUUGCAUUGACUGCAGUGUGUAGUGCAAUUUUACAAAACACACUUCCUAAGAAAUUAAGCGAUCUAGGUAGCUAUUCAAUUCCGGUCCUUGGAGGCAUAGAGAUCAACAGGGAAUUAUGUGAUCUUGGUGCAAGUGUGAGUCUUAUGCCGCUCUCUAUUUGCAAGAAACUUGAAAUGGGUGAACUAAAGCCUACGCUCAUAUCACUACAACUUGCGGAUAGGUCGGUUAAGUUUCCUUUAGGUAUAUUUAAAGAUGUUCCUCUUCGCGUGGGAAAAUUCUUUAUUCCAUGAGAUUUCGCUGUGAUGGAGAUGGAAGAGGAUUCACAUGUUCCUAUCAUUAUUGGUAGACCAUUCUUAGCCACUACAGCUGCAAUCAUUCAUAUGAAGAAUGGUAAAAUCACCUUUGAGGUAGGCGACGAGAAAAUGGAGUAUUCACUCUUGAAUGCUAUGGGAACUCCAUCGAUGGGAGAGACUAUUUGUCAAGUGGACGUCCUUGAUGAUUUACAAAGAGAGCAACUUACCAUGAUCAAGAUGGAUGAUGCACUUGAAACGUCGUUAAUGGGGAGUGCCAAUGAUGAAGAUUGGGAAACAAGGGAAUACACAAGGCUACUAGAGGAAGCAAAAGCUAACCUAAUCAUCGCUCAAACCAAAGAAGUCCUUAAUGCAUCGAGUGUUGGGGAGAGAACUACGCCUCCCGAGGUAGAAUUGAAACCCCUUCCCUCUAAUCUUCAAUAUGCAUACCUUGGUCCUAAUAAUACAUACCCUGUUAUUGUUAAUGCUGAACUUAACGACACAAUUUAAGAGCAACUGCUCAUUAUUUUGAGAAAAUAUAAAAGUGUUAUUGGGUACACCAUUGAUGAUAUUAAAGGUAUUAAUCCUUCUUUUUGUACGCAUAAAAUCGUUCUUGAGGACGAUCAUGCCUCCUCAAUAGAAUCUCAAAGAAGGCUUAAUCUAAACAUGAUGGAGGUAGUUAAUAAAGAAGUUCUUAAAUUGCUUGCUGCAGGAAUAAUUUACCCUAUCUCAGAUACUAAGUGGGUUAGCCCUGUACAGGUAGUACUAAAAAAAGGAGGUUUGACCGUUGUUAAGAAUGACAAGGGUAAGCCAAUCGCCACUAGGACUGUUACAGGGUGGCGAAUGUGUAUUGAUUAUAAGAGGUUGAAUAAGGCCUCCCGGAAGGACCAUUUCCCCCCCCCCCCUUUAUUGAUCAGAUGCUUGAACAUUUGGCUAAGCAUUCCUUUUUCUGUUAUUUGGAUGGAUAUUCUGGUUUCUUUCAAAUUCCUAUUCGUCCUUGUGAUCAGGAAAAGACCACAUUCACAUGUCCAUACGGCACUUUUGCAUAUCGUAGAAUACCGUUUGGAUUAUGUAAUGCCCUAGCCACAUUUCAACGUUGUUUGAUGACAAUUUUUUCGGGCCUUAUAGAAAAUUCUAUGGAAGUGGUUAUAGAUUAUUUUUCUGUUUAUGGAACUUCUUUCGAUGUGCCUUGAUAAUUUGAAAAAGGUGCUCGAUAGAUGUCAGGAAGUCAAUCUAAUUCUGAAUUGGGAAAAAUGUAAUUUUAUGGUUCAAUAGGGAAGCGUUUUAGGCCAUGUCGUGUCAAACAAGGGUACUGAGGUCGAUAAGGCUAAAAUUGAGGUUAUUGAGCGCUUACCAUCUCCGAAUUCUGUAAAAGGAGUUCAAAGUUUUCUUGGUCAUGCUAGACUUUAUCGUUUCUUCAUUAAGGAUUUUUCAAAGGUUGCUCGACCUCUAACUGAGCUUCUAGCUAAAGAUGCUCCUUUUGUUUUUACUGAUGCUUGUCUUGAGGAUUUUCCCGAUUUGGUAUCCCACGUAUGUUGAUUAGUGACAGGGGAACACAUUUUUAGCAGCAUCGGUUCGAAGUGAUGUUGAAGAAAUAUGGAGUGCAACACAGGCUGGGCAUUGGCUAUCAUCCACAGACCAGUGGUCAAGUUGAAGUGUCCAACCUGGAAAUUAAAUUUAUCCUAGAGAAAACGGUUGCAAGGACAAGAAAGGACUGGUCGGCCAAGAUUGAUGAUGCACUAUGGGCAUACCGAACAGCUUUCAAAACGCCAAUAGGUAUAACCUCAUAUAGACUUGUCUAUGGAAAGGCAUGCCACCUACCCGUUGAGCUAGAACACCGAGCAUUUUGGGCUAUUAAGAGCUUAAAUUUUGAUGCUAAAGCAGCGGGAGAAAAGAGGUUGUUAAAGUUGAAUGAACUAGAUGAGCUAUGUCUUGAAGCUUUUGAGAUUUCAAAACUAUAUAUAAAAAGAACUAAGCGGUGGCAUGAUAAGGAAGGAGAUCAAGUUCUUCUAUUUAACUUACGGUUGAAAUUGUUUCCCGGAAAGCUUCGGUCUAGGUGGUUAGGUCCUUUCACUGUUUUUAAGGCCUACCUCUACGAUACUAUUGAACUAUGGAACAAGACCGGGUCCACUUUCAAGGUCAACGGCCAAAGGGUGAAGCAUUACCGUGUUGGGGAUCCUAUCGAAGAGAAAGUGGACAUCACACUCUCUUCCCCAUCACCAAUUCAAUGAGCAUCACUACGAUCGAGUAAACGACCUUAUAAACAAGCGCUUGCGGGAGGCAACCCGUUUUCUUAUUUUUUUUUUUUCCUAUUUUUCAUCUUCUCUUUUUAGUUUUGUGUUUGUGUUUGUUUUGUUUUUCAGAGAACACCGAGCAAUGUAAGAAGUGGGAUGUCAAGAAGGUCGUCAAAGGUUGAUAAAAUGAGGAAUUAACUCGUCGCCCUGGCAAACCGGGCAUGCCACGCUCGACCGGGCGUGAGAAGCAGAGUCAUAAGGGGAAGAAAGGGGAGAAAAGAAAACAUGAAAUAUUUUCUAACCCCCAGAACCUGGUCAGACCGGGCAUCACUGCCCGAUCGGGCGUGAGAAGCAAGAAUGCCCGACCGGGCGUGAGAGCCAAACUCGGAAAUUACGAAUGGAAAAAUUUUCUUCUUUAAACGCCCGGGCGCGAAGAGAAACUGCGAGGACAACACGUUUUAAUUCACAAAAAAAAAUGCCCUCUUCACCAUUCUACUCUUUCAUUAUUCCUACACUCUCUCUCUAAAAACCACAAAAUCAAAAACCCUAACUCUUAUCCUCUCCUCUAAUUCCCACAAACUUCUCUCAAAUCCUUUCAAUUUCUUCAUCCUUCAUCACUUCGACCCCAUAUCCAACCUUCAUUACUAUUCCUCUCCCUCUAAACACUCAUCUCACCCAAAAUUUUUCUUUUUUAGAGAGAGAAAGCUUGAGAAAUAUUAAUGGCUGCAAGGAAGAGAAAUAGGAGCGCCCCUCAAGAACCACAACUAGAUUUGGAGAGCAUUCCAGGGUUCCCAAACAUCAAGUUCGUGGCCGAAUUUCCAAAUCAAAAGAAGCGAUUCCCAGAGCUACAACAUCGGGAGGUAAUUCCCACUCAUUUUAUACACCGUUCUCUUCUUGCUAAAUUAGGAAUAGAUUCCAAUUGUAGAACCUUGUUUUCUAAGCUUGGCAUGUCUCAAUUGUUUAACAUGAUCCAUUAUACAUAUGAAGAUAUCACUCUUGAAUUUUUGAGCUAUUUUGAUAUAGUAAAAGGUAGAGAUGGUUUGGUGACACACGUAGUUUAUAGAUUGUUGAAUAAAUCCCACUGUCUUACACUAGAUGGUUUUGGUAGGAAGUUUGGUCUUCCGUCCAUAGGAUUACCCAUGCAACCGAACAAUUUCAUUUUUGGGGAUUUGUGGUUUGCCAUGACAGGUGAAAACAUUGAGUCUAUGCAACAUGCUCCCGCUAACAAAAUCCAUUAACUAACCCGUCCUUAGACUUUUGACUCGCUUUUCUGGGUGGAAUAUUUUUAGACGGAUAGAACCUAAUAAAGUUAGGGCAGACAAGUUGCAAUCUUGGGUAGUUAUCUAUGAUAUGGGGAUUCUGAUGAGGGUUUUCGGAUGAACAUUUCUCACCUACUUCCCCUUCAUCUUAGGAAAUAGGAACUUACCUUCACCACUGUCAAACCUAAUGGAGACCGUACCAACAUCCCUAUAGUCGUAGGCGGUUUGGUGACCCACUUGGCAGUUAAGGAGGGUUUUGAUGAAGCCCACCAUACACCAAUGUCGGAUCCUAUUACCUUGGACUAGCACUACUUCACUACCACCGGCUGGUUGUCAGUUGAAUUUGGUAAUUACAGUUGGCUCAUUGGAAAGAGCAAUAGGCGUUCCAUCUCCUUACCCUCUCCUGACCUUUUUAAGAUUCGCCCUCACCAACCUUCAUAUAUUUUAGAGGUUCCUAGCAGUUCACUUUCCCUAGUUGCCCCCACGAGGACUUACUAUAGGCGAGAGUCUGCUGGACCCUCCACAUCUUCCACUACACCACCUGUCUCUUUUGACAACGAGGCCAUCAUGGCCUGUAUACGGGAACUUCAGCUAGGCCAGCAAGGCUUUUGCUCUCGUAUCCAGACACUUUAGACCGAUUUUCGCUUAUCUAUGCAUCCUGUCUUUGAUUAUUUUUACAGGCAAGGUCAUAUUCCAAGGGAUGCUUCCCAUCCUUCGUGGUAUACCUUUCCCAAUGUGGGAGAUAUUACAGGUGGUAGCGGGGCAGCCGAUGAUGAUGAUGAUGGUGACGAUGAUGACGGUGAUGAUGAUGAUGAUGAAUUUGAGUGAGGAUUCAUAGGUGUUUUUCCCACCUUCCACACGUUGCAAUGAGGCCAUUGCCAAGUGUAGCUUGGGGGAGGCUUGUGUAUAUGUAUAUAUCUCUUGAGGUUUCUUGGAUGAAUUGGACCUGUUUUGGAUGGUUAUGGAAGAGGUUGUUGAGUGAAAGAUGAAGAUUUCCCCAAUGCCCUAGCUUCUAGGGCGAAGGAAGGAAGAGCUAACUAUGAAGAAUCAUCAUACAUCCCACAUGCCCUGGCUGACAGGGCAGUGAGGAGUGUUAUUCUCAGAGCUUCAUUCAAGAAGUUGUUACACGCACCCGACUGGGCACCACAUGCCAUGACUGACCGGGCAUAAGAAGAAGAACACAGGAAGAAGGAAAUUACUUCGUCCGCCCAAUCGGGCAGGCUCCGCCCCGACAGACCGGGCACUGUUGCGCGAUGACCGUCUUUAACUAAUUACGGGAUUCUAUCUUUUUAAGGGUAUAAAUACCCCUUGUAAUCACAUUUAGAGAGUAGAUUAUUUAUUUUCUCUAGUAUUAUAACUACUUUAAAACCCUAGUUUUCUCUUCUUUCAGCAAUUAAGUUCUACUCUUAGUUUGGAUCAUUGUGCAUCAACAAUUCAAGUUCUUUCAAUUGAAGCAAUUGGUAUUUAUCUAUUCUCUUAA